rnacentral:lncRNA from 1 species
AUCUGAUUGUGGGUCCUAAGACCCUCAUUCCAGAGAGGGUCUUGCCUCAUACUCUGGAGGAGGGAACACUGCACAGAGAGGCUGAGAAGAAUCUGGACAGACAGGCCUUGCUGGGUUUAGGUCAGACCCUUUUUGUCCAAUCACAUUUCAACACAGUUCAACACGCUUCAGUCAUGCCUAUCCGAUGAAGUCUCCAUAAAAGGCCCAAGGGGACAGGGUUUAGUCAGCUUCCAGACAGCUGAACACACGGAGGUUCCUGGAGGGUGGCACACCUGGGGAGGGCAUGGAAGCUCCGCGCCACUUCCUCCAUACUUCCUCCUAAUCUCUUCAUCUUGGAUGAGAAACAACCCAACUCCUACUUCCAGCUCAAGGUUAACAAGCAAGAGGCAGCU